GACGAACGCUGGCGGCGUGCCUAAUACAUGCAAGUCGAACGCACUCUCGUUUAGAUUGAAGGAGCUUGCUCCUGAUUGAUAAACAUUUGAGUGAGUGGCGGACGGUGAGUAACACGUGGGUAACCUGCCCUAAAGUGGGGAUAACAUUUGGAAACAGAUGCUAAUACCGCAUAAAACCUAACACCGCAUGGUGUAGGGUUGAAGGAUGGUUUCGGCUAUCACUUUAGGAUGGACCCGCGGUGCAUAGUUAGUUGGUGAGGUAAAGGCUCACCAAGACCGUGAUGCAUAGCCGACCUGAGAGGGUAAUCGGCCACACUGGGACUGAGACACGGCCCAGACUCCUACGGGAGGCAGCAGUAGGGAAUCUUCCACAAUGGACGAAAGUCUGAU
rnacentral:rRNA from 1 species